GAACAUCCAUAAACUGAAAUCGAUCAAGGUUUGGACCAAACUUUUCCAGGAUCUAGUCCUGAAUCCAUGAUAAUCAGGCAUGUAUAAGCCAUAGGAGGUUGACACAACCUCCAACGACCUUGGAAGCCAUUGAUUUAGGAGAUUUUAGGGUCGUAGUUAAGGGUGGCGGCUAGGGUUUUUAGAGAAUCUGAAGUAGAAAGGGGAUUCAAAG
rnacentral:lncRNA from 1 species